rnacentral:rRNA from 1 species
GACGGAGGAUGCAAGCGUUAUCCGGAAUGAUUGGGCGUAAAGCGUCCGCAGGUGGCAGUUCAAGUCUGCUGUCAAAGACCGGGGCUUAACUUCGGAAAGGCAGUGGAAACUGAACAGCUAGAGUAUGGUAGGGGCAGAGGGAAUUCCUGGUGUAGCGGUGAAAUGCGUAGAGAUCCGGAAGAACACCGGUGGCGAAGGCGGCCUGCUGGGCAGUGGCUGACGCUGAGGCGCGACAGCGUGGGGAGCAAACAGG